GGGUCAGUAGGUUGGUCGUGCCACCGGUACGUACUGGUCUCACUGAUCCCUCCUUCCUGAAGAACCGUAAUGCCAUUAAUUUGGUGUUGCGGGGAAACAGGACUGUUGCUUUGAAAAAAUUAGAGUGUUUAAAGCAAGCUAACGCUUGAAUACAUUAGCAUGGAAUAAUGAAAUAGGACGAUCGAUCCUAUUUUGUUGGUUUCUAGGAUUGACGUA
rnacentral:rRNA from 1 species